AAGUCUGACUCGGGGCGCUACAGAUGUAGACUGGACAGAAAUGUGUCUUCAAGUGCGCACAAGGACAUUGAGAUCAGAGUUGAAGAUGGUGAGUUUGACCUGAGACCCUUGGAACUGACAUUUUAUUAUAUUUUUUGAUUUGUAUUUUGAGUAGCAUAUUUUCACAAUUGUGAACACAUACAAUCGAUCUGAAUAGAAAAGUAAUCUCAACGUCAGUAUUCCCUUGUAUCUGUACAAUCAGUAUCUAAUCAUUUCAUUGUGACACAGCUCCAACAACUUUCCAACCUUUUCCAGCAUCAGCCUCCACACCGACACCAACACAGACGACUGCAGGUAAAUGUCACAUGAAAAGUCUGAAAGUGAAGCAUACCUUUUUAUUUUGAACCAGGAAGUGUAAAACAAACCUUUUUCUUCUGCUCAAACAACCACAGGUGUGCAGCUGUAUGUUCGUCUGACUCUGGUCGUCAUCUUCAUCGUAUCAUCAGCAGCUGUGCUGAUAUUCUUCAGGAAGAGCGCCAGUAAAGCUGAAUAUCUCCCUGUGGAAACUGAGGAUGUUAAUGUCACUGAGGUGAGACUGAGGCAAUAUGGGACAUUGAGCAUCAUUAGUGUUUGUGAAACCAGCCAAUUUUAAUGCAAACCAAACCCCUCUUCUCCUCCUGCAGGCCGACCCAGUGUCUGAAGAGAUCGGAGAGGACAGACAGAGCAGAUCUCCUCCUGUAGAAAUAUCUUCAGUUUAAAUAUUCCACUGCAGCCAGUUCUCACGGGAAAGUGUGUACAAAUGGGGUAGGAUCUCUCAAAUAACUUGAUGACUAAUGUUAUCUGACAGCAGAUAGAGAUUGUAUCUAAACCUAUGAGCUUCUGUGGUUUUGAGGAGGAAAUCAUGAACUUUUUAGUCUGAGAGAUGGAAGAAAAGGUGUGAUAAGAGGUGAUGCACUGAAAUAUUGCUAUGAUGAAUUUAAAUGUUGUUGUAUUGACUCGCAGAUAUUAAAAUUAAUUGGAAAUAAAUCUCUGUAACCACUUCACAUGAAGCAGUAAAAAGAGUAAAAGAAAUGGGCCGGUGGGCUUCCUGUCAUGUCGAGAGGGCCUAUUAAUUACUUGUUUUUUUACUGCUCUCUAAUGUGCAUAUGAAACGUAGUCACAUCAGGCAUUGUCAAAUUCUUCAGAUCCUAUCGUCACUGAAUAUCUUUAUCACAUUUUGAUGAGACAUUCUUGUUUUAAGGAAAAUAAAAGACAUGAAGGAAUCAAUAACGGACCAAAAUGACUGAGAGAGAGAUUAUUUUGCUGUGUACAUACAUUUUUUUAAUCGUAUUUAUAAAAAUUACAUUUAAAGUUCAAACGAAGGCUUAAAAUUGACAAAAAAAAAAAGUGGAAGACAGAGAGGAGGAGAGCUGAGUGAGUGUUUGCUUUGGAGGUCGGACUCCGUCCCUUAAAAAGGUUCCUGGUUUACCAGAGAAGGAGAAGAAGAGGGACAACCUGAAACCAUCAGAGCCUCAAACAUGAAAGUCAGUCAGGUGUUGACCUGCUUCCUCUUCAUCCUCUGUGAGUACACUUACAUUUAACAGUCACAUCUUAUAACAGUUUUGAUUUGUACAUUUUCUGUGUUUAAAACACGAUGUUCCAAGUCUAAUUUUAAGCUUUAGCCCGACAAUCUACGUUCUACGGAAGAGGAUUGAUGCCGAGGCAGAACAUUUUCAUUUGAUUUGCUUCUGAAAAUUAAGUCAGAAUUAUGUGGGGGAAAAAAGUCAGAUAUCUUAAUUUUUCAAAACAAUUCAGCUGUAUUGAUUUUUAAAACUAGAUUUGAAACUGAUUUACAUUUAUUUACAGUAAAAAUUAUCUGAUCUAUGAAAAACAGCGACAGAGAAAGGUCAAAGGAAUGAAAACAAGCAAGCAGUUGAUCUGAACACAAAGUCAGACUGAAUGACAGUCCAGUAAUCUAAAUAAAUGUUUUUCUUUGCACUGAAGCCUUAGUGUGCGUCUUCCUCCUUUCAAUAUUUAACAUUGACCAGAUUAUUUGCAUUUUCUGAAGGAAAUGUGUGUGAUUGCUGCAUCCGCUUUAAAUGGUAAUCAACACCAACCAAACCUCCCAUUACUCUCUUAGAUCUUCCUAUUGAAGGUGGGUGUUAAUUAAAAGUAUAAUCCUCUGAUGUCAGAGGGAAACAGCACCUGACCUGUGUUCUAACUGCACAGCUGCACAACAGGAUGCAGAUAGAGGGGGUCUCGAGGGGUCUUCGUAUGUCAGAUGUGCAGGCUCUGUGCGAGCAGCGCAGUUUGACAUAUUUCUCUCAAACUCUGUAUGGGCUGUGGUUUAACACCUAACUGACAUUCUGAAUUUAUUUAUCAACCCAUUUUCUCUAAGUGUCACUGUUUGCUAAGAUACAUAAACCGGAUCGAGCCUCUGAACUUAUUGACCUUUUUGAUUUUCUACUUUUGUAUUUUCUGAUCAUGAAACACAAUGCUUUUGUAAAGUAAUGGAAAGAAAUGGGUAAAAGCGAACCAGUAAUAAUAAUGACAAAUUCGGAUAAAAGAACAUUUUAGCGAUGAAAACAAAAAUGAAAGUAUUUGCA
rnacentral:lncRNA from 1 species